CUUGUCUUGGUUUUGGAAAUGGUCUUGCUACAGUAAAUGUGGUCUUGGUCUCGGCUGACAGUUUGUAAAAAAAUAAUGCUUGUGUUGUGUUUCUUUUUGCAUACACACAGAGCAAAUCAGCCUAAUCACUGGCUUAAUACUCGAAUGAAGCUGAAUAAUUGAAGCAAAGGCUUGGCCUCAAAUAAGAAGAAAGUGAAGAAGAAGAAGAUGAUGAAGAUGUUGAUGAUGAGGAUGUUGAUGAUGGGCUUCAACACUGCAAAACCAUAAUCAUGAACAAACCAACGGACUGCAUUCCAUCUCAUGCUCACCAGUACAACUCAAAAAAGAAGUAUUUUAAGUUUCAUUAAAGCUGCUCAUUUCCCAAUCGAUCCACUGCCCUGAUUAUGAGUUACUGCAAUGAUGUCCUGCGGGUGUUAUCUAGGGCAGCUCAGCAAGAUGAGCUCUACACCGCCAAUCUAGGUAAACAGUUUUAGAUUUCAAGCCCUGUAUGAAAACACGGCGUACGCUGGUAUCUUAGCAAGGUGGUCUAAGAUGUUACGAAAUAGCCGAUUUCUCCUUUUUUCCGAAAACAGCAUCAAAGUCAUGUGAGCAGUCAGCAGGUGUCAGAGCCUGGGCAGAGCAUUAAAGCAGGAAUGAUAAGCCUAACAGACUGAUGGGAAGGGGUUUAAAUAAAACUAGAUAGCUCUCACUGAACACUACAAAGAAACCAUUUCAACGUGCUUUAAAUAGGCUCCUGCGCUCACAAAGUUUCGAUGAAAAGAUCAACGUGAUUUGUAUAUCAAGCCGUGGCAAGAGAAAAGGUUCUUUCAAUAUUCCUUCAGUCGGAGUCCUUCAGCUGGAGGAAUAUUUUGCAGAAAAUUAGGUUAAUUGGCAACAGGUCAAUAAUGUGAUUGGGUAUAAAAAGAGUAUCUUAGAGAGGCGGAGUCUCUCAGAAGUAAAGAUGGGAUGAAAUCUGGAUGGAAGCAGAUGUUGCUCUAAAACCUGUUUAUACCUUUCAGCAUUGAUGAUGCCUUUCCAGAUGUGCAAGCUGCCCAUUCCAUAUGCACUAAUGCACCCCCAUACUAUCAGAGAUGCAGGCUUUUGAACUGAGCGCUGAUAAAAAGCCGGAUGGUCCCUCUCCUCUUUAGUCCUCUUUAGUUUACACUACAUUUACAUUUACAUUAUUCAUUUAGCAGACGCUUUUAUCCAAAGUGACUUACAAAUGAGAAAAUACAAGCAAAGCGAUAUAUCAAGCAGAGAACAACACAAGUAGUGCUACCAUACAAGAUUUAUAAUUGAGUUCUAGAAGAAGCAAAGUGCGCAGAGUAAGGUUUUUUUUUUUUUUAUGGGUUAGUUAGGUGUUCACGGAAGAGGUGGGUCUUUAGCUGUUUUUUGAAGAUGGUGAGAGAUUCUGCGGUCCGGAUUGAGGUUGGAAGUUCAUUCCACCACUGAGGAACAGUGAGUUUGAAGGUUCUUGAAAGGGACCUUGAGCCACGCUGAGUAGGUACUGCUAAGUGUCGGUCGUUGAUUGAUCGCAGAUUGCGUGAGAGAACGUAAGCCUUCAGGAGAGUGUUGAGGUAGGAGGGUGCUGUUCCAGAAAAGGUCUUGUAGGUGAGCAUCAAGGCCUUGAAUUUGAGGGGUGUGACAUGGGUUUAGAGGACGCGACGUCCAUGGUUUCCAAAAAGAAUUUCACAUUUCGAUUCGUCUGACCACAGAACAGUUUUCCACUUUGCCUCAGUCCAUUUUAAAUGAGCUUUGGCCUAGAGAAGACAGCAGCGUUUCUGGAUCAUGUUCACAUACAGCUUCUCCAUUGCAUGAUAGAGCUUUAACCAGCGUUUGUGGAUGGCGCGGCGAACUGUGUUCACAGACAAUGAGUUCUGGAGGUGUUUCUGAGCCCAUGCAGUGAUUUCCACUACAGAAUCAUGCAUGUGUUUAAUGCAGUGCCGCCUGAGGGACCGAAGAUCACGGGCAUGCAGUAUUGAUUUUCAUCCUUGUCCCUUGCGCACAGAGAUUUCUCCAGAUUCUCUGAAUCUUUUGAUGAUAUUAUGUACUAUAGAUGAUGAGAUAUUCAUAGUCUUCGCAAUUUUACAUUGAGGAACAGUAUUCUGAAAUUGUUCCACGGAUUGUAGAUGCAGUUUUUCAUAGAUUGGUGAACCUCUGCCCAGCUUUACUUCUGAAAGACUCUCUUUUUAUACCCAGUCAUCUUACUGACCUGUUGCCAAUUAACCUCCAGCUGUUGCCCCGUCCCAACUUUUUUGAGACGUGUUGCGGCCAUCAAAUUCAAAAUUACCUUCCUUUUUUUUUCCCCUAAAAAUGUUACAUUUAUGCAGUUUAAACAUUUGAUAUGUUUUGUAUAUUCUAGUGUGAAUAACACAUGGGUUUAUGAGAUUUGAAAAUCAUUGCAUUCUGUUUCUAUUUACAUUUUACACAGCGUCCCAACUUUUUUCGAAUUGGCAUUUUAAACGGGAAGUUCACACAUGAAUAAAACACACACAAAGACUGUUACCUUCUUUUUUCUUGGCAUGGGUACUGGGGCUUCUAGGCUCAAUUCUUUUUCUCUCGGUGAGACCUUGUCCUCGACUGCACUGCUCCGUGUGGCCUGAGAAAACAGGAAAUGACCAUUGCCAGAUAAUUAAUAGAUCUAUGAGUCAAUAAAAGUCAGCAGCAAUGGACCUUUGCAUCCUGACAUGUUUGGCUAUAAACAUUAACCAUUACAAAAUGAAACAGGAAGUGAAACAUGGGCAUUGCAGAAAUUAGAAUGCCCCCAAAUUAUACAAAUAUGGAUUAAGAACUAAUAGGAAAGAGUUUUAUUCUUCUUAUAUCAUGACAAUCUACCAAUGAUUUUAGUCCAUGCAUUAACAAUGUUCACGGCAUUAUAUGUUUAAAUGUUAUUUAAAACGCUUGUGUCCACGUUAUGGCUAUCCCGUGAACAGCUUCUCCCAUCUGAGCUAUGGACCUCUCCAUCUCUUUGACCUCUUUGCUUCUCUGACUAAUGACCUCUUUAUCUGAUCACUGACUUCUGGUGGACAGCCUUCUCUAGGCUCACAAUCACAGUUGUGACUUAGUCUUUCCAUUUUCAAUAAUGGAUUUAAUGGUGCUUUUCACGAUGUUCAAAGUUUUGGAUCAUUUGUUUUAUAAGCAAAUGCAUAUGCAAGGCACUGCAAGUCAUAAUGCGUGCUUGUCUGAUAAUUAACUUGAAUUUAAUUUUGCAUUUGCAACACUGUAAAAAAAAAAAAAAAACAUUCUGCAGUCUAUAUUAACACCUUCUUUAUAUACCCUU